GACGUAGGGGGCGAGCGUUGUCCGGAUUUAUUGGGCGUAAAGCGCGCGCAGGCGGUUCGGAUAGUCGGAUGUGAAAAUCCGGGGCUCAACCCCGGACGUGCACCCGAUACUCCCGGACUGGAGGCAGGCAGGGGAGAGCGGAAUUCCCGGUGAUAGCGGUGAAAUGACGCAGAUAGUCGGGAAGAACACCGGUGGCGGAAGGCGGCUCUCUGGGCCGGUACUGGACGCGUGAGGUGGCGAAAGCGUGGGGAGCAAACAGG
rnacentral:rRNA from 1 species